rnacentral:tRNA from 1 species
CGUCGCGUAGCUCAGUCGGCCCGAGCGCUCGCCUCAUAAGCGAGAGGACGGCGGUUCGAGUCCGCCCAUGACAA